rnacentral:rRNA from 1 species
GCGCAUGCAGGCGGCCUGUUAAGUCAGAUGUGAAAGCCCCGGGGCUUAACCUCGGAAUUGCAUUUGAAACUGGCAGGCUAGAGUCUUGUAGAGGGGGUAGAAUUUCAGGUGUAGCGGUGAAAUGCGUAGAGAUCUGAAGGAAUACCAGUGGCGAAGGCGGCCCCCUGGACAAAGACUGACGCUCAGAUGCGAAAGCGUGGGGAGCAAACAGGAUUAGAUACCCUGGUAG